AUACGAAGGGGGCUAGCGUUGUUCGGAAUUACUGGGCGUAAAGCGCGCGUAGGCGGAUUGGUCAGUUAGGGGUGAAAUCCCAGGGCUUAACCCUGGAACUGCCUCUAAUACUGCCAGUCUUGAGUUCGGGAGAGGUGAGUGGAAUUCCUAGUGUAGAGGUGAAAUUCGUAGAUAUUAGGAAGAACACCAGUGGCGAAGGCGGCUCACUGGCCCGAUACUGACGCUGAGGCGCGAAAGCGUGGGGAGCAAACAGGGUUAGAAACCCUAGUAGUCC
rnacentral:rRNA from 1 species